rnacentral:rRNA from 1 species
GUCCACCCGUAAACGUUGGGAACUAGUUGUGGGACCAUUCCACGGUUUCCGUGACGCAGCUAACGCAUUAAGUUCCCGCCUGGGAGUACGGCCGCAAGGCUAAACUCAAAGGAAUUGACGGGACCCGCACAAGCGGCGGAGCAUGCGGAUUAAUUCGAUGCAACGCGAAGAACCUUACCAAGGCUUGACAUAUACGAGAACGGGCCAGAAAUGGUCAACUCUUUGGACACUCGUAAACAGGUGGUGCAUGGUUGUCGU